UACGUAGGGUGCGAGCGUUGUCCGGAAUUACUGGGCGUAAAGAGCUCGUAGGCGGUUUGUCACGUCGGCUGUGAAAUCCUAGGGCUUAACCCUGGACGUGCAGGCGAUACGGGCUGACUUGAGUACUACAGGGGAGACUGGAAUUUCUGGUGUAGCGGUGGAAUGCACAGAUAUCAGGAAGAACACCGAUGGCGAAGGCAGGUCUCUGGGUAGUAACUGACGCUGAGGAGCGAAAGCAUGGGUAGCGAACAGG
rnacentral:rRNA from 1 species